rnacentral:rRNA from 1 species
UACGUAGGGCGCAAGCGUUGUCCGGAAUUAUUGGGCGUAAAGAGCUCGUAGGCUGCCUGUCGCGUCUGCUGUGAAAUCCCGGGGCUUAACCCCGGGCGUGCAGUGGAUACGGGCUGGCUGGAGGCAGGCAGGGGAGAAUGGAAUUCCCGGUGUAGCGGUGAAAUGCGCAGAUAUCGGGAGGAACACCGGUGGCGAAGGCGGUUCUCUGGGCCUGUUCUGACGCUGAGGAGCGAAAGCGUGGGGAGCGAACAGG